CCCAUCCAGGACACUGCAUUGCAUUUAAUCAUCACAUCUCCUUCGGCUCCUCUGAAUGAUAACACUGUCCAACUCACCCUGAAGUUGUGAAGAUUAAAUCAGGCAGUGGAUUGGGCGGUGCUGGCUGAACCAUCUGACUUCAAACAUGCCUCUGACUGUGUGAUGUUGCCUCGUUUAUAUAUCUUUUUACAUGUAGAGUCAACUAGAUGGAUAGUCUCUUCUCUAGAUCUAAAUGAACCAUUCCUUCAUUAUUCCUACUCCCAAGCCUGUGGUUCAUCAGAAUGGUGCAAUGUAAAAUACUGGAGUUAAGACAGACCUCAGUUGGACUUCUGGUUCUGGCACUUAAUAAUUGUGAAUUUUGGGGUCCCUUGGCUGAAUCAAUCAGGUAUGCAGUUUUCUUAUAUAUAAACUUCUGAUGGUACUUAGCUUGCAUGAGU